rnacentral:rRNA from 1 species
CUUGGUCAUUUAGAGGAAGUAAAAGUCGUAACAAGGUCUCCGUAGGUGAACCUGCGGAGGGAUCAUUACACAAAUAUGAAGGCGGGCUGGAACCUCUCGGGGUUACAGCCUUGCUGAAUUAUUCACCCUUGUCUUUUGCGUACUUCUUGUUUCCUUGGUGGGUUCGCCCACCACUAGGACAAACAUAAACCUUUUGUAAUUGCAAUCAGCGUCAGUAACAAAUUAAUAAUUACAACUUUCAACAACGGAUCUCUUGGUUCUGGCAUCGAUGAAGAACGCAGCGAAAUGCGAUAAGUAGUGUGAAUUGCAGAAUUCAGUGAAUCAUCGAAUCUUUGAACGCACAUUGCGCCCUUUGGUAUUCCAAAGGGCAUGCCUGUUCGAGCGUCAUUUGUACCCUCAAGCUUUGCUUGGUGUUGGGCGUCUUGUCUCUAGCUUUGCUGGAGACUCGCCUUAAAGUAAUUGGCAGCCGGCCUACUGGUUUCGGAGCGCAGCACAAGUCGCACUCUCUAUCAGCAAAGGUCUAGCAUCCAUUAAGCCUUUUUUUCAACUUU